AUUUUUAAAUUAUUUGUAUUUUUGAAAGUUUUCUCUGCGGAAAGCCCAUUUGUCCCGCUCCAUGCGCGCUUGGCCACAGAAUCCUUUCUGGGUUCUCGGUGUUUCCUCAAACGCCCCUCUGCUGAGUCUCAGGCUGCGGCGCUUUUCUGAUCUGUUGAAUCCCCACUCCGUGCAGAUCAGGAAGAAAAGAAAGGAAUGUAAAUCGGCACAAAAUACCGCCACAGACAAAAGCCAAAAAAUGAGAAUCUUCAAAUAGAAAAUUAACUCACCAGACAUGAUGGCUGAGAUGAUUAGAGGAUCCCUGGAGAAGAACUUUGGAUCUCCACAACGUUCUGUUCUGCCUCAGGAAAAUGGCCAAGAACGAAAUUUUUAUAAAAGUCUCCAAAAACAACAAGUCUGGUGUGUUCCAGCGGGAUCAGAGCAUACAACAAAAUUGUAAUAAAGCUGGGGAGAUAAUAGUUUGAGAUUUUCUUCCUCCAUGCCUACUAUUUAAAACCCCUAGAACUCAAUGAUUUGACAAUGAUUUGAUUGCGCGUUACUUACAAUUUGAAUAUUCAGAAGCAACGCUCUCAAAUCAAUUUUUCAAUAAAAAUAACUAUCCAAGGACUUUGUAAAAGCCCCACUUUAAUGUAAUAUAGCUGUGUUUUAUGCUUUGGUGA